UACGGGGGGAGCAAGCGUUGUUCGGAUUUACUGGGCGUAAAGGGCGCGUAGGCUGCGGGGCAAGUCGGGUGUGAAAUCUCAGAGCUCAACUCUGAAACUGCACUCGAUACUGCUUUGCUUGAGGACUGGAGAGGAGAUUGGAAUUCACGGUGUAGCAGUGAAAUGCGUAGAUAUCGUGAGGAAGACCAGUGGCGAAGGCGGAUCUCUGGACAGUUCCUGACGCUGAGGCGCGAAGGCCAGGGGAGCAAACGGG
rnacentral:rRNA from 1 species